AAUAAAUAACUUGAGAAUUAUAUUUCACAUCCAAACAUAAUAUUCAUAUAUUAACAAAAAAGUGACAUGAUUUCAUUAGUUUAUAUGUCAUAAUCCAUAUGUUAUAAAAUUUUACAACCUCAAAAAGUUACAACAUUUUAAUGACAUUCUAUCAUGUCAUUAUACCAUCCAAAUAUUACAAACACAAAAUGUUACCAAAAUAUCAUCAACACAACCAUAAUUUUUAAUGGUCAACAAGAAAUCUUUUGACUUAUUCCAAAUGCACAGUAGAAGGUAAACUAAAGAAAAUGAGCAUUUGCGAUGGAUGAUCUGGAAUUUUGCUCAAUUGCACAAUAGCGCUCAUCCUCAGUUAUUGUACAAAACCUCUCUUGCCCAGCAAUAUUUGCAACUUGAUCCUUUUUUUAUCAAGCUCUAUGGUCCUUAUCUUGAAGUCAAUUCUGCCAAAGAAAACACAACCUUAUUAAACCACAUGCCCCUUGUUGAAAUAAUAAUAUACCACUACACAUUUAACACAUAAUGGUUCCAACUAAAAAAGAUAAGUUAUCAACUACUACAGUCAAUAGAAUGUUAUAACCAUAAAUAGAAUAUUAACUAAGUUUAAAGAAUUUCUUAAGGGGACUCAUUAGCAAACCAGUCUUUAAUAUCUAAUUCACUCUAAUCUAACAAAAAAUCAGCAGUAAUAGAGUUUAGAUUGUCCCUUUGUACAAUUAUUAGGUCCAUCCUUCAUACAUACACAUACAUGCACACAAAAAGAAAAAGAAAAACUGUUUGACAUGGCAAAUCCAGCAAAACUAGAAACACAGACAUAUAGAGAAAAACAAAUGAAGUUUUAUUGACAUUAAAAGAGAUGGAGCAGAUAUUAUAUGCUAAUUAUUAUUCCAAGAUCAAGGAACUCAAAGCCCUUGCCUAAAAAAUAAGUUAAAUAAUCAUCCAUUUCUCGGAUAUAAGUUAUUUAGCUAAAUGCCUAAAAACAAAAAUGAAACUAUGAAAAGAUUAAAAAAAUAUUAUUUUAUUAUUAAAAUGGUGUGAGUAUAUGAAAUUAUGUACCAAAUCCAAACUCAAAUGUUAUAUAUUCUUUGAAGAAACAUCUAUUAUUAAUCAAUACAUAAGAUUCUAUUGAGCUAUCACUUUAGAAUAAGAACCUCAUUCAUUUCAUACUAAAUUUAUUCUUAGUUAUUGCCUUCAUAUAAAUUUUAAAAACAAAAUAAAAUUUUAGAAAUUUUUUAUCAGCAUUCACAACAAUGACAAGUUCCAAGAGAUUUAGGUCUUGAAAUUUACACUUAAAUAAUUCUCAAGACUGUGGAAAUCGAUAAUCAAGACUGAAGGUCUAGGAAUAACAGCUGAUAAAGUAUCAUCAGUACCACAAUUUCCACAUAAACUUGCAUUUGCAUAAUUAAAAAUCUUGCUUCUAAGGUUACAUACAUAAUAUACAUAAUCCAACAUUAAAGAAAAUCAAUAAAAAGAAACCUUAAUGGAUGGAUGUCUAAAGUGAAUCACAUUAAACAGAGUGCAGAUGUCAACAAUAAACAAGAACAGCAAGAUUUAUGAGAAACUAAACUUCUAGAAAUUGGUAAGCAAGACAUUCUAAAGCCUACCAUUAGUUGAUGUUAUAGCUCAUAGUAUGGUCAUCUGAGAAUAUUACUGUAAUACUUGAUGAAAAACUAUAAUUCUGAAGAUUUUACAAGCAACAGCUACAAGUGACUACUUCAAAAAGAAGGUAAUGUCCAAAAGAUGCAUUAGAGAAACUUUUUAUGGAUAAUGAUCCCUUCUUAAAGCAAAAGUUAUGUCUGCAAACUCAUUGCUUAGUUCUAUCAUCCUCUUAAAAAUACAUUUUAUUUCAAUAUUUUCAAAAAGAUAGUGAAGGCUUUAACAUGAUCCUUCACCUUCCUGUAGAAAGCAAUAGAGGUGAUCGGUGAAACUGUCUAGAAAUGUGCCCUAUCAGUACUACUGAAUUCUAAACUCCAACUAGUGAUUGCAAAAAAAGGUUACGUUUCAGACUAAGAAAAGAAUUGUUAACACAAGAACAGAAAGAGAUAAAGGCACAUCCAGAGAGGAUUAGCAAUCAUAUAAACCACGCACUAUACCAUACUGCUCAUUCUUAAUAUGUCAGAAUUUAUACAAAUGAUUACUUAAGGAUUCAAAAAAGGCUUUGAACGGAUGAUAACUUAAAAAACCAGAUUAAAAAAGAAAUCGAUCCCAAGUUCCAACCACUGUAGUGUUGGUAAAUUGCAGAAAAUCAAUCAAACAACUCUCGGUUCUUGCUUCCAAGAAAAGUAGAAAAUCAAUAACAAAUCAUUGACUUUCAGCAUGUUACCUUAGACAGUAAAUCAAAACUGAACCAUGCUCAAAACCACAAAUGUUCUGCACAACCUUCGAAGAAUUAUACCUUUUUUAAGAAGCUAAAAUAUUCUGACCAUGAAGAAAAUUGCGAACUCCAUUUUUUGAAAUCCAAAAACUCCAUUUUUUAAAAGUAAAGUUUUGAUUUUUAGAUUGAAGUGAAAAUAGAAAAUAAGAAAAAUGUAAACCAUAAACUUAAGUUCCCAAAUUUCUUCAAUCAAAAAGGAGGAGGAAAAAAAUUGAAAUACUAUUAACUAUUACCGGAUCUUGAUCCACCGACCAUUAAAGUUCCUAAAUUUCUUCAAGCUUAAGCUUUUUUUCUGGGUUUGGGGGUUUUGUAUUUUUAGGGUUUAUGAGUUUUCUUUGUCGAGAAAUGGAGGUAGACUUUCCUUGUCAUCCAAAUCCACACAUUCUUUAAAGUUAAUUGAUGAAAAAAAUAAACACAGACAAAAGAGAAUAAAAGGAACAGGAACUCAAACAGAUCACCAAUUAUAAACUGUUAUUAGAUAGAAUCCUAAUUGAAAAAUCCUUCAUUGGAACUUGGGAAGAGGUUGAAAGGAAACGAGAAGAAGAAUGAAGGAAAGAAGAAAGCUCCAGACGUGAGAAAGAAAUGGAUGAAGAAAGGUCCAGACGUAAGAAAGAAAUGGAAGGGUAAAGUUGAACUCUAACCUAAAUUUUUCACACUGAAUUGGUAUUCCGUGGGGGCAGUGCUAAAUUGCAAACUACAGUUUUGCCCUGAACAACGCUCUAUGGAAUAGGGUUGUAAUAGCCCAUUACAGCCAACCAAACAAUAGAAUAGGGAUGGGCCCACAGAAUUGAACUGUAAUGGCUUAGCAUUACAGCCAACCAAAGAUGUUGUUAAUAACGAAGAAGAAUUCAAUUAUAUCUUACCUGAAAAUAAUGAAUGUAGAAAUCAAAGAGAAUAGUGGAGACUUUAGAGGAUCAUCCUAAUAUACCAGCGACAGAAGCCACUUCCCAACUUCCAUCACCGGAAGAAGCAACUCCUGUAAGUUGAAAAAUACCAAUAUAUAUAAUGAGAUGAUAGUAAAACUCCUGCAAGUUAAGACAACAACCAAGAGAAAGAAUAGAAAAUCAGAGCCCGAAG
rnacentral:lncRNA from 1 species